GUUUUAGUAGUUUAUAACAAAACACUGGUCUUGUAAAUCAGAAUAGAGAAAACUCAUUCUCCUUUAACU
rnacentral:tRNA from 1 species